rnacentral:rRNA from 1 species
UACGUAGGGUGCAAGCGUUGUCCGGAAUUAUUGGGCGUAAAGAGCUCGUAGGCGGUUUGUCGCGUCUGCUGUGAAAUCCCGAGGCUCAACCUCGGGCCUGCAGUGGGUACGGGCAGACUAGAGUGCGGUAGGGGAGAUUGGAAUUCCUGGUGUAGCGGUGGAAUGCGCAGAUAUCAGGAGGAACACCGAUGGCGAAGGCAGGUCUCUGGGCAUUAACUGACGCUGAGGAGCGAAAGCAUGGGGAGCGAACAGG